rnacentral:rRNA from 1 species
CAAUAGCGUAUAUUAAGUUGUUGCAGUUAAAAAGCUCGUAGUUGGAUUUGUGGCGUACGGUGUGUUCCGGGCACUUGUUGUCUGAGUAACCUGCUGUUGCCAUCCUUGGGUGGAACCUGUGUGGCAUUAGGUUGUCGUGCAGGGGAUGCCCAUCAUUUACUGUGAAAAAAUUAGAGUGUUCAAAGCAGGCUUAUGCCGUUGAAUAUAUUAGCAUGGAAUAAUGAGAUAGGACUUUUUUGCUAUUUUGUUGGUUUGCGCAAGAAGGUAAUGAUUAAUAGGGACAGUUGGGGGUAUUCGUAUUCCAUUGUCAGAGGUGAAAUUCUUGGAUUUUUGGAAGACGAACUACUGCGAAAGCAUUUACCAAGGAUGUUUUCAUUAA